ACCUGCAUCAAUUACAAUGCUUACAAAAUAAACAUGGGAUAUCUAAAUACACAAAGGUCACACCAGGAAACGCCAAAUCGAACAAGUUUCACUAUACGAAUAAAACAGCCUUUUUGGGGCCCUGAACAGGAUUUGUUUGGGGGGCCACCACCAUCCCACUUGUGAGAAAAUCUGCCCUCAUAUAGCUACAUUCCAGCAAUUCAUAAUUUGCCAUAUUAUAUUCUAGUCAUUAUGCCAUGGGGCGGAGAGAGAAAUGUGUUUUGGGAGCGUAAACACUCAGGCAUUCCGGCUCAUGGGGCUUGACGGUCCGGAAUCAGCCAUGGUGGGAAUGUGGUCAGAGCCUAACGCUAACUAACACUGUGGAAUAUAGCACAAACACACUGACGCAUUCCAGCCAUACCACACACUCCUGACCAAACUGUGAGCAAUGUGUCUGGGAUUCAGGAGAUUAUAUAAUUAAUCCACACAGAAAAGACUGCAAUGUCAAAAGGCAAUAUUUACCUCUUUUUGGAAUCACAUUGUCGGGAUGAGCAGGUUAUUUAUACGCAUGGGAAUCAAUGGAUAGUCAAUGAUGUUUAUCAUUAGAUUAGCGCACGUUGCCAGUAAUUUUCCUUUCCAUGUUAGAACAAUGUUUUCUUUGAUUUAAUAUUCCACAGCCAACGUGUUUACCAUGAACAAGGUUGACACAAAACCUUGUUUGUGGCAAUGUAGCGAGGCAAUGGUGUUGAGGUUUGUUGAAUUGAGGUUACACACACACGCACACACAAUACAGUAUGUCUACAGUAUGAACACACAGUCACAUGCAUAUUUCCAUAUGGGAUUGUAAACUCGCUAACACUCUUCCUUCACUCAAACUUGGCUGUUCUGCCGUUCAUGUUACUGUGUUAAUAUUCCCAUCCCAGCAUGACUCACAUGAACACGAUCUUUGUUUCCCUGAAGGUGGGGACAAGGUCUAUGACACAUUAUUCCUGUCUUUCAGGUGUUGUAAUCAUGGCUCUUCAGUGCUCCAUGAUGCUGCAGGGCCUGCUUGGUGUCAUACCUUGGAUUCCUAGGAAAUGUGGGGGACCCCACUUCCAGGACAUUAACCCAACACAAAGCUUAAAAAGGGCCACAAAGAUCAUCUUGGACUUCAGCCACAGGAGCCAGGCUGUUGGCACUACCUGACAGACAGAGGAGCUUCAGGGGAAUUGUAAUGAGGACAGAAAAACAAAGAAAAAUUUGACUGUUAAACUAUUGUAAAAAAAGUGUUCUUUCUAUUUCUUGUUUUACAUUGCAUAUACUUAAUUUAACCAAGUUUGUGUGCUGAUACACAGAUAUUUUUCUACACUAGACAACUUGUGUCUCAUAUAUGUGAAUGCGACCUUUGAGAUGUUAAAUGCGACCUUUGAGAUGUUGAAGCUUUGGGUAACUUCCGGUCUCAAAUAUGAUUUUACAUGGUGCCAAUGCCUACGGGACAGUGUGGACAUGAGAAAGAGAGACACACCACUUCAGCUCAUUAUGUAGGUGGACACAUUCCUAUCUACACCCCAUCAUUUGUUAUGGGAGCAGUGAGAACAGAGCCCACAGGCAAGGCAUGUAUGAUUAGCAUAUACAUAUAGAUAUUUCACAUAGAUAGCAUUGGUUGUCGUAGCACAGAACGAGUACAAUCCAUUCAAUGUAAUGGAGCUGAUAUGACAUGAACCGAUUCAUGGUCCCUGUUCUCUACCUUAAUUACAUAGACUUCAAUGUUUAUGCAAUGUCCAUUCGCAAAUAACACACCUCCAAACUGUAAAAAACAACAAGGGGACGAUGUGUUAUUCUUGAUUGAACGGACCGAUAACCAGCGUGUCUGUGUGCGUGUCUGUGUGGGUGUUGAUUGGAUUUCUGUCCCAUUAAUCAGUACCUUCAGGGUUCGCCAGUCUUCUUUCAUGUCCUCCAUUUUGUGAAAGUGACAGGGGUGUGACCAUGGGAACAGGUUCGGUGACUCAUAUUCGGUGUCUGAGAAAGCCAUCUGUAAUAGAGUAGGUGUGAAUUCAUAUAAAAAACAAAUGUGCAUGAGUGCAUUUCAUAUGGAGGGGGGACCCAUUCAAAAUGUUUGCAAAGUAUUGUUACUAUUGUGGGGGGAACUAUUUAUCACCUAAGCCCUUGAACACAACUGUCCGUGUGGUGUGUGAGUGUGGUCGGUGUUCCUGACUGACAACAUUGUAGAACUACAGGACCUGGUUCUGAUGAACAAGGCUGCCAAAGGAAUGAAUAUCAACCUAAAUGUAUUAUAAACAGUGACUUUGCGCUCUUCCUCUAGUAUUGGAGACAAAUGACUUUACCCACAAACAUGCACAACAUGAACAAACGUAUGCCAAUGGUAUACCAUAUGUUACUGUCACUAUGGCCUAUCCACAGCCACUCCUGCCUAUACCCAUGUAGAUAGACCCAAACAACCCAUAACACUCCACACGUAGGCAUCUGAAAGUUGAAUUAAGGCCAUUAAUUUCAUUUGAAAUGCUAUUUGAAAUGUUACUGAAUAAAACACAGUGCAUGUAUUUCUCAUUGUCACAGUGGGUCGACAGUUUUUUCUUGAGAAAUGCUGUUUGAUUUAAGUGUGUCUGAAUUAGUAUGAAGGCACAGGGCUGUCUAUUUGUGUUUGUGUUUGUUGCGGCAUCAAACCAAACACGCAGGAGAGAAACCAAGGGCAACUGAUUCACUCUCGUUUUAAACAAAGUUCUGUCUUUGUACUGAACUUCUCCAUGUUCUGUUGUGUCGUGUUUAACGCUUUGUGUGGAUCCCAGGCAGAGUAGCUGCUUCUUUUUGCAGUUGCUUCUAAGGAUCCUUAAUGAAAUACUAAAUACUAACUUUCCUCAACUGACCUCAGGUGAACAGCUUAAUACCUAAACCAAAUAUGUGAGAAACUGCUGUGGUACGUGGAGGUGGGCUCUUUUCUCUUAUUGCUCAAAAAGAGAGACCCAUUUGCAGAUAAAUCUGAACUUAUCACUAACCUAACCCUAGCCUAAUGUCAAACCCCAGUUCAAGCCUAACCCUACCCAUAAUCCUUACUCUAAAUGUUCACCUCUGGCUCAAUCCGAACUCCUACAAUUGGGGCUCCCUCACCUCC
rnacentral:lncRNA from 1 species